UCAGCUGCUCCGGUCUCACUGAGGUCAUCACUAUGGCUUUGAACUGCUAUGGAGUCCUCAUUGUCUUAGCCUCUUGCUUGGGUUUCAUCUCCCAGGCUCUGGUGACUCAAAGUGGUCCUGUUUCAGUGGCCACUGGAGGAGCCACCACCAUAACCUGUACUCUACAAGGAGUGGAGUUUAUCAGCUCUGUUAAGCCAUCCUGGUAUCAGCAGAAAGAAGAACAGCCUCCAAAGUUGCUCAUCUACAAAUCCAGGGAAAGAGCCUCUGGGAUCCCCCAACGUUUUUCUGCAGACACUUUCGGCAACAGUGCAAAGCUGACCAUUUCGAGUGUUGAGGUGGCCGAUGAAGGGUAUUAUUUCUGUGCCAUGUGGCAUAACGAUGGGCUACACACUGUUGCCUUCCAAUGCAGAACUGAAACAAGAAGUCUCUGGGCCUGAAACAGAAAGCCCCUCCCCGCCCCAAGGAAGCAUGUGGAUGGGAAUGAACCCAC